GUGCUCGCUUCGGCCCCACAUAUACUACAACUGGAGCGAUACAGAGAAGAGUAGCAUGGCCCCUGAGUAAGGAUGACACGCAAAUCCGCGAAACAUUACAUAUUUAA